rnacentral:rRNA from 1 species
GACGAACGCUGGCGGCGUGCUUAACACAUGCAAGUCGAACGGAAAGGCCCUGCUUUUGUGGGGUGCUCGAGUGGCGAACGGGUGAGUAACACGUGAGUAACCUGCCCUUGACUUUGUGAUAACUUCAGGAAACUGGGGCUAAUACCCGAUAGGAGCUCCUGCAGCAUGGUGGGGGUUGGAAAGCUUAGGUGGUUGGGGAUGGACUCGCGGCUUAUGAGCUUGUUGGUGGGGUGGUGGCUUACCAAGGCUUUGACGGGUAGCCGGCCUGGGAGGGUGACCGGCAACAUUGGGACUGAGAGACGGCCCAGACUCCUACGGGAGGCAGCGGUGGGAAAUAUUGCACAAUGGGCGGAGGCGUGAUGCAGAAACGCCGCGUGCGGGAUAACGGCCUUCGGGUUGUAAACCGAUUUCGCCUUUGACGAAGCGUGAGUGACGGUAAUGGGUAAAGAAGCACCGGCUAACUACGUG